rnacentral:rRNA from 1 species
UGGGGGAUAUUGCACAAUGGGCGAAAGCCUGAUGCAGCGACGCCGCGUGGGGGAUGAAGGCUUUCGGGUUGUAAACCUCUUUCGCUAUCGAACAAGGCCCGCUUAGGGUGGGUUGAGGGUAGGUGGAGAAGAAGCGCCGGCUAACUACGUGCCAGCAGCCGCGGUAAUACGUAGGGCGCGAGCGUUGUCCGGAAUUAUUGGGCGUAAAGGGCUUGUAGGCGGCUUGUUGCGCCUACUGUGAAAACGCGGGGCUUAACUUCGCGCGUGCAGUGGGUACGGGCAGGCUUGAGUGUGGUAGGGGUGACUGGAAUUCCAGGUGUAGCGGGAAUGCGCAGAUAUCUGGAGGAACACCGAUGGCGAAGGCAGGUCACUGGGCCAUUACUGACGCUGAGGAGCGAAAGCAUGGGUAGCGAACAGG